rnacentral:rRNA from 1 species
GUUGUAUGGUUAAGCGACCAAGCGUAUACGGUGGAUGCCUUGGCAGUCAGAGGCGAUGAAGGACGUAGUAACUUGCGAAAAGCGUUGGUGAGCUAGUAACAAGCAUUUGAGCCAGCGAUGUCCGAAUGGGGAAACCCGGCACCAUAAGGUGUCAUCAAUACGUGAAUACAUAGCGUAUUGAGGCGAACGAGGGGAACUGAAACAUCUAAGUACCCUCAGGAAAAGAAAUCAACCGAGAUUCCCCAAGUAGCGGCGAGCGAACGGGGAUUAGCCCUUAAGUCUUUGGGGUGUUAGUGGAAUGUGUUGGAAAGCACAGCGGCACAGGGUGAUAGCCCCGUACAUGUAAACUAACCAGAGAUGAAAACGAGUAAGGCGGCACACGUGAUAUGUUGUCUGAAUAUGGGGGGACCAUCCUCCAAGGCUAAAUACUCCUGACUGACCGAUAGUGAACCAGUACCGUGAGGGAAAGGCGAAAAGAACCCCUGUGAGGGGAGUGAAAUAGAACCUGAAACCGUAUACGUACAAGCAGUGGAAGCGGUACUUGAGACCGUGACUGCGUAC